GAUCAUGGCUCAGGAUGAACGCUGGCGGCGUGCUUAACACAUGCAAGUCGAACGAUUGAAGCUGGAGCUUGCUCCGGCCGAUUUAGUGGCGGACGGGUGAGUAACGCGUGGGUAACCUGCCUCAUACAGGGGGAUAGCAGUUGGAAACGACUGGUAAAACCGCAUAAGCGCACGGUAUCGCAUGAUACAGUGUGAAAACACUCCGGUGGUAUGAGAUGGACCCGCGUCUGAUUAG
rnacentral:rRNA from 1 species